UCGCACAGUGAACACCUAAGUGUGUUUUGUAGUUCCCUUGGUUUUAACACUGUGCUAGAACAAUGUGUCUUCUUUACCGUUGUGUUGAAAGGCCAAUAUUUUUAACUGUACUCAGAAAUUCAGCACUUUG